GAGGUCAGAUGGAGGGAUGGCUU
rnacentral:piRNA from 1 species